UGAUAUUGCUCGGUAGACCGACGGUCCG
rnacentral:piRNA from 1 species